UUCAAGGAAGACAAUUUUAUGAAACUUCAAGAUACCUUCACGAAACAGAAAGUUGGUGAUGGGAACAAGAGUUCAAAUGGUAAAGGGGGUGGAAGAAUUGCAAAAGCUGGGAAUGCUUCUGGUGGUUCUGACAUAUACAAGAUUGUGAAGAUGAUCAUGGAACGGAAAUUUCAACCAGUUAUAGUUUUCAGCUUCAGUAGAAGAGAGUGUGAACAACAUGCAAUGUCUAUGUCUAAACUUGAUUUUAAUAUCCAAGAGGAAAAGGAUGUUGUGGAGCAAGUAUUUAGUAAUGCGAUUCUUUGCUUGAAUGAGGAAGACAGAAACUUGCCUGCUAUUGAGUUAAUGUUACCGCUACUUCAGCGAGGCAUUGCUGUCCAUCAUUCUGGCCUUCUUCCUGUCAUCAAGGAACUUGUAGAGCUUCUUUUCCAGGAAGGCCUUGUAAAGGCCCUUUUUGCCACAGAGACAUUUGCCAUGGGUUUAAACAUGCCUGCAAAGACUGUUGUUUUUACAGCUGUUAAGAAGUGGGAUGGUGAUAGCCAUCGCUACAUUGGAUCUGGGGAGUAUAUCCAGAUGAGUGGAAGGGCUGGACGUCGUGGCAAAGAUGAGCGCGGUAUUUGUAUAAUAAUGGUUGAUGAGCGGAUGGAGAUGAAUACACUGAAGGACAUGGUUUUGGGUAAACCAGCUCCUCUAGUUAGUACAUUCAGACUGAGCUACUAUUCAAUUUUAAAUUUAAUGAGGCGUGCUGAAGGCCAGUUCACUGCUGAGCAUGUGAUAAAAAAUUCAUUCCACCAAUUUCAGUACGAGAAGGCUUUACCUGGUAUAGGGAAGAAGGUUUCAAAACUGGAGGAGGAGGCUGCUGUGCUUGAUGCUUCAGGAGAGGCUGAAGUGGCUGAAUAUCACAAGUUAAAACUUGAGAUGGCUCAACUCGAGAAGAAGAUGAUGGCAGAAAUAACUAGGCCUGAAAGAGUUCUUUAUUAUCUUUGCACUGGUCGACUGAUCAAGGUAAGAGAAGGUGGAACUGAUUGGGGUUGGGGAGUUGUGGUGAAUGUUGUUAAAAAACCUGCUUCUGGGUUAGGCACGUUGCCAUCACGGGUUGCUGGUUAUAUAGUGGAUACUUUACUUCAUUGCUCACCUGGAUCUAGUGAGAGUGGUUCACGGCCAAGACCUUGUCCACCGCAGCCUGGAGAAAAGGGUGAGAUGCAUGUGGUCCCUGUUCAGUUGCCUCUGAUUUCUGCUUUAAGUAAAGUCAGAAUAUCUGUCCCUUCUGACCUCCGACCGCUGGAAGCAAGACAAAGUAUUCUGCUGGCAGUGCAGGAGUUGGGAACUCGAUUUCCCGAAGGUCUUCCAAAACUUAAUCCUGUAAAGGACAUGAAAAUUGAGGAUCCUGAAAUUGUUGAUUUGGUCAACCAAAUUGAGGAACUGGAAAGGAAGUUACGUGCUCAUCCACUGCACAAGUCUCAAGAUGUGAAUCAGAUCAGAAAUUUUGAAAGGAAGGCUGAGGUGAAUCACGAAAUUCAACAGCUCAAGUCGAAAAUGCGGGAUUCUCAGCUCCAAAAGUUUCGUGAUGAAUUAAAAAACCGUUCACGAGUCUUGAAAAGGCUUGGCCAUAUAGAUGCUGAUGGUGUUGUCCAGCUGAAGGGCAGGGCAGCUUGCUUGAUAGACACAGGAGAUGAACUACUUGUUACUGAACUGAUGUUCAAUGGUACCUUCAAUGACCUUGAUCAUCACCAAGUUGCAGCUCUUGCAAGUUGUUUCAUUCCUGUAGAUAAAUCUAGUGAACAAAUACAUUUGAGAUCAGAGCUUGCCAAGCCAUUACAACAACUCCAAGAGAGUGCAAGAAAAAUAGCAGAAAUUCAAUAUGAAUGUAAAUUGGACUUAAAUGUGGAUGAGUACGUGGAAUCAACAGUGAGACCAUACUUGAUGGAUGUGAUUUACUGUUGGUCAAAGGGGGCGAGUUUUGCAGACGUUAUACAAAUGACUGAUAUCUUUGAGGGAAGUAUCAUAAGGAGUGCUAGACGACUAGAUGAAUUCUUGAACCAGCUGUGUGCGGCUGCUCAAGCUGUGGGGGAAGUCAGUUUGGAGAAAAAAUUUGCAGCAGCGAGUGAAAGCUUGCGCCGAGGUAUUAUGUUUGCCAAUUCUCUUUAUCUGUGAGUGAACUUCUUGCAGGCUCUUAUAUGACUCGGGUCCAGUCACCCACGGGUACAAAAGGUUAUACAUAAGGUUGUGUCAUGUGGUGGUCUUGCACUGGUUGCUACUUGAGAUGUGGUUGAAGAACAUACAUCCAACAAUAGGUUCCACCCUUGAUUCCAUCAAUUUUCUUUCAACAGCAGAUCUGUGUAUAUUGCUGAUAGUGUUCUUAGAAUACCUUAGGAAAUUAGAAAUGACAGUUUACUGCAAGGCAUUGAUUUAAUGAAUAUGUUCUCUGCCUCUCCUGGCAAUUUGAAGCAAGUAUCACAAGGGUGCUUGUGCUAAAACUCAUCCUUGGAGUUGGAUUUUUUUUUUUUAACAAUAUAAUUGUUGCCU
rnacentral:misc_RNA from 1 species